GGGGGUGUAGCUCAGUGGUGAAGCACAUGCUUAGCAGGAGUGAGGGCCUGGGUUUAGUUCCUAGCACCACCU
rnacentral:tRNA from 1 species